rnacentral:misc_RNA from 1 species
GGGACCUGCGGAAGGAUCAUUAAAGAGUAAGGGUGCUCAGCGCCCGACCUCCAACCCUUUGUUGUUAAAACUACCUUGUUGCUUUGGCGGGACCGCUCGGUCUCGAGCCGCUGGGGAUUCGUCCCAGGCGAGCGCCCGCCAGAGUUAAACCAAACUCUUGUUAUUUAACCGGUCGUCUGAGUUAAAAUUUUGAAUAAAUCAAAACUUUCAACAACGGAUCUCUUGGUUCUCGCAUCGAUGAAGAACGCAGCGAAAUGCGAUAAGUAAUGUGAAUUGCAGAAUUCAGUGAAUCAUCGAAUCUUUGAACGCACAUUGCGCCCCUUGGUAUUCCGAGGGGCAUGCCUGUUCGAGCGUCAUUACACCACUCAAGCUAUGCUUGGUAUUGGGCGUCGUCCUUAGUUGGGCGCGCCUUAAAGACCUCGGCGAGGCCACUCCGGCUUUAGGCGUAGUAGAAUUUAUUCGAACGUCUGUCAAAGGAGAGGAACUCUGCCGACUGAAACCUUUAUUUUUCUAGGUUGACCUCGGAUCAGGUAGGGAUACCCGCUGAACUUAA